rnacentral:rRNA from 1 species
UACAGAGGGGGCAAGCGUUGUUCGGAAUUACUGGGCGUAAAGGGCGCGUAGGCGGCCUGCUAAGUCGAACGUGAAAUCCCUGGGCUCAACCCAGGAACUGCGUCCGAUACUGGUUGGCUUGAAUCCGGGAGAGGGACGUGGAAUUCCAGGUGUAGCGGUGAAAUGCGUAGAUAUCUGGAGGAACACCGGUGGCGAAGGCGACGUCCUGGACCGGCAUUGACGCUGAGGCGCGAAAGCCAGGGGAGCAAACCGG